CCUACGGGAGGCAGCAGUGGGGAAUCUUGCGCAAUGGGCGAAAGCCUGACGCAGCAACGCCGCGUGCGGGAUGAAGGCCUUCGGGUUGUAAACCGCUUUUAACAGGAACGAAAAUGACGGUACCUGUAGAAUAAGGUGCGGCCAACUACGUGCCAGCAGCCGCGGUGACACGUAGGCACCAAGCGUUGUCCGGAUUUAUUGGGCGUAAAGAGCUCGUAGGCGGUUCGAUAAGUCGGGUGUGAAAACUCUGGGCUUAACCCAGAGACGCCACUCGAUACUAUUGUGACUAGAGUUCGGUAGGGGAGCGGGGAAUUCCUAGUGUAGCGGUGAAAUGCGCAGAUAUUAGGAGGAACACCGGUGGCGAAGGCGCCGCUCUGGGCCGAAACUGACGCUGAGGAGCGAAAGCGUGGGUAGCAAACAGGAUUAGAUACCCUGGUAGUCCACGCCGUAAACGGUGGGCACUAGGUGUGGGCUCCAACCAACGGAGCCCGCGCCGUCGCUAACGCAUUAAGUGCCCCGCCUGGGGAGGUACGGCCGCAAGUAAACGUACAAGAAGUAGACGG
rnacentral:rRNA from 1 species